AACGAACGCUGGCGGCAGGCUUAACACAUGCAAGUCGAGCGCUCCGCAAGGGGAGCGGCAGACGGGUGAGUAACACGUGGGAAUCUACCCAAUGGUACGGAAUAACCCAGGGAAACUUGGGCUAAUACCGUAUGUGCCCUCCGGGGGAAAGAUUUAUCGCCAUUGGAUGAGCCCGCGUCGGAUUAGCUAGUUGGUGGGGUAACGGCCUACCAAGGCGACGAUCCGUAGCUGGUCUGAGAGGAUGAUCAGCCACACUGGGACUGAGACACGGCCCAGACUCCUACGGGAGGCAGCAGUGGGGAAUAUUGGACAAUGGGCGAAAGCCUGAUCCAGCCAUGCCGCGUGGGUGAUGAAGGCCUUAGGGUUGUAAAGCCCUUUCGGCGGGGACGAUAAUGACGGUACCCGCAGAAGAAGCCCCGGCUAACUUCGUGCCAGCCGCCGCCGUAACAC
rnacentral:rRNA from 1 species